rnacentral:rRNA from 1 species
GACGAACGCUGGCGGCGUGCUUAACACAUGCAAGUCGAACGGGCAGUAGAAAACAGAAGUCUCGGGGGGAGAUUACUAGAGGGAGUGGCGAACGGGUGAGUAACGAGUGAGCAACCUGCGAAUGACAGGGGAAUAGGGUGGGGAAACCGGGAUAAAUACUGAAUAAAAUCGUUGAAACACAUGUUUUGAAGGUCAUAGAGUUAUUGGUUAUAGAAGUGCCCGAGUCUGUUUAGCUAGUUGGUGAGAUAACAGCCCACCAAGGCGACGAUCAGUACCCGGACUGAGAGGAUGGACCGCCACAUUGGAGCUGGGACCCGGUCCGAACUCCUACGGAAGGCAGCAGUGGGGAAUAUUGCACAAUGGGGGAAACCCUGAUGCUGCGACGCCGCGUGAACUAAGUAUGUAUGCGUAUCGUAAAGUUCUGUCCUAUGUGAACAUCAUGACAGUACCAUAGAAGAAAGCCCCGGCUAAAUACGUG